rnacentral:rRNA from 1 species
UACGUAGGGGGCUAGCGUUGUCCGGAAUCAUUGGGCGUAAAGCGCGUGUAGGCGGUCCGGUAAGUCCGCUGUAAAAGUCAAAGGCUCAACCUUUGAAUGUCAGUGGAUACUGCCGGGCUAGAGUCCGGAAGAGGCAAGUGGAACUCCUGGUGUAGCGGUGGAAUGCGCAGAUAUCAGGAAGAACACCAACGGCGAAGGCAGCUCGCUGGGACGGUACUGACGCUGAGACGCGAAAGCGUGGGGAGCAAACAGG